GAAGGAUUCUAACAUAUUAACCUCAAGUUUCUUAAGUUGAGCCGCAAUAUCUCGCAUUUGCAUUUUGUGCUCACGCACACCCUUUAUGUUGGUGAGUCUAAGGGAUGAGAAUUUCAUUAUUAGGGUACUUGCUAGUGCCUUAUCCGAAGUGAUGAAUUGUUCAUCAAUAGCUUUUAGCAAGUCUCGGACAUUUUCAUGCUGGUCAACAGAACCACGUAUGCCAGCAG
rnacentral:lncRNA from 1 species